rnacentral:rRNA from 1 species
GACGAACGCUGGCGGCGUGCCUAAUACAUGCAAGUCGAACGCAGUGGGGACGGGUGAGUAACACGUGGGUAACCUCCCAUCAGAGGGGAUAACACUUGGAAACAGGUGCUAAACCGCUACUGAUGGAUGGACCCGCGGUGCAUUGGCGAGUUGGUGGGGUAACGGCUCACCACGGCCACGAUGCAGAGCCGACCUGAGAGGGUGAUCGGCCACCAGGGAACGGAGACACGGCCCAGACUCCUACGGGAGGCAGCAGUGGGGAAUCUUCGGCAAUGGACGAAAGUCUGAUCGAGCAAUGCCGCGUGAGUGAAGAAGGUUUUCGGAUCGUAAAGCUCUGUUGUUGGAGAAGCGGUAUCUACCCAGAAAGCCACGGCUAACUACGUGCCAGCCGCCGCGGUAAUAC